rnacentral:rRNA from 1 species
ACAGAGGAGCUUGCUCCUUGGGUGACGAGUGGCGGACGGGUGAGUAAUGUCUGGGAAACUGCCUGAUGGAGGGGGAUAACUACUGGAAACGGUAGCUAAUACCGCAUAACGUCGCAAGACCAAAGAGGGGGACCUUCGGGCCUCUUGCCAUCAGAUGUGCCCAGAUGGGAUUAGCUAGUAGGUGGGGUAACGGCUCACCUAGGCGACGAUCCCUAGCUGGUCUGAGAGGAUGACCAGCCACACUGGAACUGAGACACGGUCCAGACUCCUACGGGAGGCAGCAGUGGGGAAUAUUGCACAAUGGGCGCAAGCCUGAUGCAGCCAUGCCGCGUGUAUGAAGAAGGCCUUCGGGUUGUAAAGUACUUUCAGCGGGGAGGAAGGUGUUGUGGUUAAUAACCGCAGCAAUUGACGUUACCCGCAGAAGAAGCACCGGCUAACUCCGUGCCAGCAGCCGCGGUAAUACGGAGGGUGCAAGCGUUAAUCGGAAUUACUGGGCGUAAAGCGCACGCAGGCGGUCUGUCAAGUCGGAUGUGAAAUCCCCGGGCUCAACCUGGGAACUGCAUUCGAAACUGGCAGGCUGGAGUCUCGUAGAGGGAGGUAGAAUUCCAGGUGUAGCGGUGAAAUGCGUAGAGAUCUGGAGGAAUACCGGUGGCGAAGGCGGCCCCCUGGACGAAGACUGACGCUCAGGUGCGAAAGUGUGGGGAGCAAACAGGAUUAGAUACCCUGGUAGUCCACGCCGUAAACGAUGUCGACUUGGAGGUUGUGCCCUUGAGGCGUGGCUUCCGGAGCU